rnacentral:rRNA from 1 species
GACGAACGCUGGCGGCGUGCCUAAUACAUGCAAGUUGAGCAAUGAAGAUUGGUGCUUGCACCAAUUUGAAGAGCAGCGAACGGGUGAGUAACGCGUGGGGAAUCUGCCUUUGAGCGGGGGACAACAUUUGGAAACGAAUGCUAAUACCGCAUAAUAACUUUAAACAUAAGUUUUAAGUUUGAAAGAUGCAAUUGCAUCACUCAAAGAUGAUCCCGCGUUGUAUUAGCUAGUUGGUGAGGUAAAGGCUCACCAAGGCGAUGAUACAUAGCCGACCUGAGAGGGUGAUCGGCCACAUUGGGACUGAGACACGGCCCAAACUCCUACGGGAGGCAGCAGUAGGGAAUCUUCGGCAAUAGACGAAAGUCUGACCGAGCAACGCCGCGUGAGUGAAGAAGGUUUUCGGAUCGUAAAACUCUGUUGGUAGAGAAGAACGUUGGUGAGAGUGGAAAGCUCAUCAAGUGACGGUAACUACCCAGAAAGGGACGGCUAACUACGUG